rnacentral:rRNA from 1 species
CAUCCUCCAAGGCUAAAUACUCCUGACUGACCGAUAGUGAACCAGUACCGUGAGGGAAAGGCGAAAAGAACCCCGGCGAGGGGAGUGAAAAAGAACCUGAAACCGUGUACGUACAAGCAGUGGGAGCCCCACCACUAAGCCAGUGGUGAACUCCACAUACGCAUCCUUUGCUGAGGAUACGGUUAACGGAGCGAAAGCGACGUUCAACCGCAAAAGAAGCAGAGGGGGCUUAGUGGUGGGGUGACUGCGUACCUUUUGUAUAAUGGGUCAGCGACUUAUAUUCUGUAGCAAGGUUAACCGAAUAGGGGAGCCGGAGGGAAACCGAGUCUUAACCGGGCGUUAAGUUGCAGGGUAUAGACCCGAAACCCGGUGAUCUAGCCAUGGGCAGGUUGAAGGUUGGGUAACACUAACUGGAGGACCGAACCGACUAAUGUUGAAAAAUUAGCGGAUGACCUGUGGCU